rnacentral:lncRNA from 1 species
AUGGGCUGCUCGUCGUCCAGCGCUCAGACGGUUGAUCAAGAGAAAAGACCAGGGACGAAGCCAGAGGAGAGCAGCGGAGCCUCACUGGUCAAAAAUGGCAUCAUUGCAGAAGAUUCCCACACCAUUGAGGACCAGCUGCAGCUCCCGGUGCAGACGGCCUUACCAGAGGACCUUCAUCCAGGGCCUGAGGAUGAGGCAGAAGCUGUUUUAGUGGCCCUGGAGGCCCAGGAGGACCUGGGCUCUGGAGAAGAUCUCCUGGCUGAGCCUGAACCACAGCUGGAGGCUGUUGUCUCCAAAGAAGUGGCUCCAGAGGCUCCAGCAGAGGACGCUGCUGAAGCUACUCUAAAAGAGAACGAGGCAGCAGGCUCUGCAGAGGAUGAUGCCCCUGUUAAAAAUGAGCUGCUCCCCGCUGUUGUUGAGCUCCCCCCUGCGUUUGAACCCGUCGUGUCGGAAGCAGAAGAGGCUGCAGUGGUCGUGGAAGAGGCAGCAGAGAACACAGAGGCGCCUGAAGUAGUAACGGCUUCUAUGGAGGCGCCAACUGAUAACGUGGCACCAGGGGCUGCUUUAGCAACACCACCUGAACCUAUUCAACCAGGUGAAACAGCAGCACAGGGUGAAGCUCCAGGGGGUGAAGCUCCAGGAGGGGAAGCACAAGCAACUGGUGACUUUAAAGCAUCAGGUGAAUCUCAAAUACCAGGUGCAACACGGGUACCAGGUGAAGCUUCAGGACCAGGUGAAGCUCAAGUACCAGGUGAAGCUUCGGGAUCAGAUGAAACUUCAGGACCAGGUGAAGCAUCAGGACCUGGUGAAGCUCAAGUACCAGGUGAAACCCAGGUACCAGGUGAAGCUUCAGGAUCAGAAGAAGCUUCUGGACAAGGUGAAGCACCAGAACCAGGUGAAGCAUCAGGACCAGGUGAAGCAUCAGGACCAGGUGAAGCUUCAGGACCAGUUGAAGCAUUAGGACCAGGUGAAGCCCCUGCAUCAAGUGAAGCUGCAGCAUCAGGUGACGCAUCCUCUGUAGAGUCUGCAGAGCCUGUAAUAGAUCCUGACAUUGCUAUGUCGACCAUCCCAGAGAUGCCACCAUUAACUCCAGUCACAGCUGAGCUUCAAACUGAGCCUCAACCAGCUGCUGAAGAGCCCUCAGUGGACCCCGGUGCCCCGGCUGAGCCUGCCCCACCAGCACCAGCCCCUGAGCUGACCCAGCGAGUGGACGCUCCUCCGGCCACACCACAGGCCUCUGCAGACGAAGGCCCACAGACGUCACCAGCAAAUGAGCACCAGAGCAGAGAGCCAGCGGUGGACGCCGCGUCCCCAGCAGCCUGUGAAGCUCCCUCAGCAGCCUGUGAAGCGCCCUCAGGAGCCUGUGAAGCGCCCUCAGCAGCUGACCCAGCGCCGGAAGCAUCACUGAAAGAGUCUACAGCAGACGCCUCCCAGGACCCAGAGCGUGAGAAAACCAAAAAGGACGACUGA